ensembl:lncRNA
UUAUCGCGUGUUCUGUGAGCAAAUGCUUUUGCAUAUUCGUAGUGUUUCCUCCCAUAAAUGAAAUAUCUACUUUGCAAGUAUUGCAAGUUGCCCUGUUGUCAUCCGUUCUCGUAAAGUAUAACCAAACUUUUGAGCGUCUGAGCCGCUUAGGCGCCCUGCCAGGUAAAUGACGCUCCGCAACGUGGUGACGUCAUUCGAGGCGACUGGAAUCGAUAAGGGAAUCGUUUGCAAAAAUGGCAAACAAUUCCAAGGAAUUGAAACAGUGGGAACCGGUUCUCAACAAGAACCAGGUUUCGAUACCCAUCCCUAAAUAUAAUGGGUGUUAGUCUCUGGGUACUGUUACUGUGCUCGGCUGCUAGUGAUGCUAGCUCUUUGCCUGCCUGUCUGAUGCAGUGCUACAUGGAAAUUUGUGUCAGCUGGAGAAGGCAAUGACAAAUACAAAGAGUAGAGUUACAACUGUGCGGACUGUAGAGUGUGAAUGGAGAUAAGGCAACAUGCUGGAACCCUGAUAACAACAGUCAGAGAUCGUUGUCAACUUCUCUUGAACUUCGGACUCGGGCAUUCUCCCUUCAAGAUUUUCUGGUAGAGAGUAUUCCAAGCUCUGAAGCGGUAAAGCUGGUUCAGGACUCCAGGACUGAAAAAUGAAGCCAAUGAAAAGAAAAGGCAUGACAAUACUAGAGUCCCUCAAGCAUUUCUCUAUCCAUUCAGUUCAAUUCAAUUCAGCUAAUUUUUAUGUAUCGAGUGCCAAAUCACAACAAUAGUUGCCUCAAGGCACUUAUGGUGAUGUUUCAAAGCCAGGAGAUAUGAGGGUUGGAUUUCACUUUGAA